CACGUAGGGCGCAAGCGUUGUCCGGAAUUAUUGGGCGUAAAGAGCUCGUAGGUGGUCUGUUGCGUCCGCUGUGAAAACUCGGGGCUUAACCCCGAGCCUGCAGUGGAUACGGGCAGACUAGAGGUAGGUAGGGGAGACUGGAAUUCCUGGUGUAGCGGUGAAAUGCGCAGAUAUCAGGAGGAACACCGAUGGCGAAGGCAGGUCUCUGGGCCACUACUGACGCUGAGAAGCGAAAGCAUGGGGAGCGAACAGG
rnacentral:rRNA from 1 species